rnacentral:lncRNA from 1 species
GGGAGAUUGACGUUGUUGAUCUACUUAAAAAAAAAUAUGAAUUUUUUUUAUAUCUAUAACGGAAGUACUGCGAGUCUACGACGUAGUAGAAUAGACGACGCCGCCGCGAGGGACUUUAGCAUCGGGUUCGGAGAUUUUGUCGAGUGAGAUGAGAUUCUAUGAAUGCGGGCUGCGUCACGAAAACCGGACGCAAUGUAAUACCGUAAAUGGUAUAUUAUGGUAUAAUAUGUAUAUAAAAUAAAUAAUAAUAUAUGCGUUGUGCACAAAACGUAUAUAUGAAAAAAUACACAGCUGCAAAUUUCCCCGACGCUUAAAUACGUAUUACUGCCACCGUAUUCGGUGAAUCGCGUAUUCUCGCCCUACCACGCCCACGAGUUUAAACUUAUCGAGAUAUCGUUACACGUGCUAUUUUAUAUAUAAAAGGUUUGAGACAUUUUGAAAAAACGUAAACGGUCUUACUACAGACGCUUUAGUGCGUGAUAUCGUCACAUUUCGAUUAACUUUUCGGGCCGCUAUGAUAUAUAUAUAUAUAUAUAUAUAUAUACGAUUAUAAUAUUUUCUGACCUGUGAGAUUUUUUUACCAUUUAUUUGACUCAAAUCUGUGUUCAAAGGAUGGAGAUUCCGAGAUGUAGAGGAAAAAUAACUGCAAUCACAAAAACGGGAGCACCAAUCGAACUCAAUAUGUACCAGUCACCAAUAAUCAAAUGUACCUGCGAGUAAUUUACCAACAUUGUGUUCCAACGACUGGUAUAUGUCUGACCAGUAUGUAUAUUCAACUGUUCGAGUAUAUUGACCGUUUAUUGGACCUGUGACACAUUUACCAAAAAUCCUCAGGAAACACACAAGUAACGAACGUGGACCAUUCCUGCAGAAGUGCAACAUUGAAACUUGCAAGUUCUCACAUGCGUGACAAACAUUUAGCGAGUAUACCAGUCGUGUGAACUUGUUUCGAUGAAUUUUAUUGAGACUAGAUAAGUAGGUAUACGAAAACCACAUUUUACAUUUUUAUCCGAUGUGAUACAUGGUGACAUUAUGGUAAUAACUAAUAAUAAUUUAUUGUAUUUGUCGCGAACACACUCAGUACAGUGUCGAGGCCUUGACUAUGGCUAUGCUUUAUCACCUCUGGACUUCAAAAAUGGGUGAAAAUGAAAUCUACCGAUUUGGUUUUAUUUAAUGUAACAGAUGGUAAAACUUUGUAAAAUUAAAAUUAGGUACCUAUGUCCCAUAUAUUAUCAUAGUUAUAACUGAUCCUAUAAAAGAAUAAUAUAGGUAUUCAAUGAUUCUAAUUUAUGGUUUAAUAAGAUAGUUAGGUAUGUUGUAUUUGUCUGUAAUGAGGUUCAUAACACGUGGUAAUUGUUGCAGUUAUUAUCAGCUAUCUUUUUAGAAACUUUUUUCACGUCAAUUAUGACUAAUAAGUAACAAGUACCUAACUGGGACGUUUAGAGUGCGCCAAACUAGGUACUGCAUUACUGCAAGUAGUGAGUUCACAACAAUAAUGAUAUUAUACUUGGUCAUUAUUCACGGCAUAUGUUUAACCAAUUUUUAGGUAAGAUUGGGUUGGGGUAGUCCCCUCGUGACGUAUCCCGGAGUUAUAAUUAAUAUAAUAUUUUAAUAUAUGUUACAAAAUAUCGAACGUUUUUUAAUCGCCACCGAGAAUGUUAAAUAAUAUACAAUUUACAUCCAGGUUCUCCCGCGACGGGCCUCCGGUAUGCGUUAUUGUGACACGGUGACUCCGACUCGCGUUAUUAUAAAACAUUCAGCAGUUAUUAUAAUAAUAAGUAAGUAUUAUUAGUAAAUUACACGACUAUACCGUAAAUUAGUUAUUAAUUUACGAUAAAUUAAUUUCGUUGGUUUUUAUGAUUAGCCCUUAUCACCCGAAAACCUCGUCGUUUUGUACACGGUGACUUAAUACCUAUUAGUAUAAUAUAGACAAAUAGAUAUAUUAUUGUUAUUAUCAUAUAAAGGUAUCUGCCACAAUAGAAAUACUUAUGUAAUAUAACAUUAUAUUAGAUAUAGGUAUCGUUUUAAAACACAGAUGGUUCGUGGUUUUAUUUUCAUGUUGUCGCUAUUUCACCAUUUCGGACGAUUGCCAUUUUAUAAUACACUAAAAUAAUAAAUACACAGUUAUUAUUACAAUUAUUAUUGAAUUGUCUGUUGGUCACGUCAUGCUUACCGUAAAUAAAUACAAUUCACGUAUGAUAAAAUGUAUCUUAUUUCGUCAUCAAACGGGACGAAAAGUGCAAUCAUGUGUCUAACAUUGAACCUAGUUAUAAUAA